GGGGGACUCAUUCUGGUCGGGCUCCAACAUAGCCAGAGCCGACGGAGUCAGGACCUGGUGCCUCCCUUUACCUGGAUGACACCCUGAUAGAGUGGUUCCUGAGGCAGUUGGAGCAUGACUCAGAGCGGGACGAGGAGGAGGAAAAGAGGAACCCAGAACUCACGUUGGAGGCGCUCACCCAUGUGGCAAAAACCAUGAACACCAGGAAGACGCCAGGUCCAGAUGACAUCCCAGGUGAGUAUUACCAUCCUUUUUGGGACAUGCUAAAAGUCCAUCUAGAGGAGGUCUACAGAGCGGUCUACAGAGAGAAGCGGUUGGGCCCUUCUAUGAGGGAGAGUGUAAUCACUCUCCUUCAUAAGAAAGUGGAAGUUAAAGAGCUAAAAAAUUGGUGCCCAAUCAGCCUCCUGUGCGUGGAUUAUAAGAUACUUGCCAAAGCUGUAAUGCUCCGGCUACAAGUACACCUCCCUUUGGUUAU